ensembl:lncRNA
CUUGGUUAGAGUUAUGUGAUUCAAAGCACUUUAAAAUCCCUGACAGGCAUCUUAUUCAUACUGUGCUCUACUGUUAUUUAGCAUCACCCAGAACAAUGAUUGGCAUUUGCUGCAGACUGUGGGGACAGGUUUCAUCAUUCAUUACAUGUGCUGAACAGGACUAGUCUGUCUUCAUCCCAGGAGAUGGCACCUGGUUCUGACUACUGUGCUCAAAGGGGCUUUCAUUUUCCAGUCUUUCCAUCUGUAGCUUUAUGGAUUUGGCCUCAUUUAAUAAACUUUGCACGGAACACUGUGAGAACACAACCAUCUUCCAUAAACAGACACACAAUCCCUCUGCUCGCACUCUUUCUCUUCACAGGCUGAGCCCAUGCUUGCCAUCAGCAGGUAAGUGAUGAGCUCCUGAACUGACGCCAGAUAAAAGACCAGACCGUUCAUACAGUUUGCACAGGGCAGAAAGUAGCAGACAAGUAUUUCCACAUGGAAACAGAAGCCUCGCUAGGGUGAGUCGUAGAAUAAUAGAAUGGCCUGGGUUGAAAAGGACCAUAAUGAUCAUUGAGUUUCAACCCCCCUGCCAUGUGCAGGGUCACCAACCACCAGACCAGGCUGCCCGGAGCCACAUCCAGCCUGGCCUUGAAUGCCUCCACGGAUGGGGCAUCCACAACCUCCUUGGGCAACUUGUUCCAAUGUGUCACCACCCUCUGGGUCACAGGAACAGGCACAGCAGGCAAGUGCUCAGUGAUUCCCUUAUAGCCUUUCCACCCUUUGAGUUUGUGCUUAGCAAAUUUUCUUUUCCAUCUCCAGCUGAACACCGCCCUUACUGUAAUACAGAUGACUGCCUUCUUAGCCUCCUAUCUCUUCCUGAGGAGCCCUCUGGCUUCCUAGUGUGUGCUACUCCUUGCAAAUGUGCAGACAAUUCAACGCAAACUACUGAUUUUGCCAGUCUGCCUUCUCUAUGUCCAAACGUAGCUUGUAUAAAAGAAAAAUAAGCAUUCAUUAAAUGCCCAAAUCAAAUGUUUUUUGACUUGAUUAGCAUCUUUGCAUCUUCAGUGUCACAUGGUGAGUUCUGCAGCUUGACUGCUGUGUGUGGGCAGCCUGGCUGAUGAGGACUUGAACCAGUUUAGAUGGACUGGGAGUGCAGUAUGCUAAGCUGCUGGAUUUCUGCUUGGUGUCUGUGCACCUCAGUUUAAGAGAACAGGUUUCUGAAGCCUGAGGGGAGAAUGUGGCUCUAACUCAAAGGUCAUCUCCCUAGAGUGAGUCUAACCUGUAUUUAGGGGACUGGGAAGGAGAGGAAUGGUAUUUAUUCCUAGAGAAAAUGAAAAGCCAUGCAACUAGGUAAGAACAGCAAGGUCAUCAAAUGCUGCACCUACAGGCGCUUGCUGCAGAAGUUGCAGCUACCUUUUACAGUUAUGACACGUUUACUCCCUGUACUGCUGCAGAAUGCUUUCCCAGAGCACUACAGCAAGCUCAGACCAACACCACCUACUGCAGCGUAUUGCAAAGAUGUGGUAGAUAGUGAAUCACUUUAUAAUCUCUAACAAAGGCACUUUUGCCCCACUUCUCAGCUACAGAGAGGCAGUUCAUUCCAUUAAGAGCUAGGACAAGUCUGCCCAGCAAUCCCAGUACUGAUCUUCAAAACUUUCAUCACUGUCUAACACAUGGGAG